rnacentral:rRNA from 1 species
UGGAGGAAGUAAAAAUCGUAACAAGGUUUCCGUAGGUGAACCUGCGGAAGGAUCAUUACAGUAUUUUAAAUCAGAGUUUAGUUAGCUGGUCCCUCUAGGGGGGCAUGUGCUCGCUCUGUUUCAUACUUUUCCAUAAUACACCCUGUGCACCUUGGACGAGUCGGCAUGACUUGUCUCUUUCAUAUAUAUAUGCCUGUCUUAUGCAUGUCUUCAUACACAUAUGAUUAUAAAACAACUUUCAACAACGGAUCUCUUGGCUUUCGCAUCGAUGAAGAACGCUGCGAACGUGCGAAACGUAAUGUGAAUUGCAGAAUUCAGUGAAUCAUCGAAUCUUUGAACGCAUCUUGCGCUCCUUGGUAUUCCGAGGAGCAUGCCUGUUUGAGUGUCAUGAAUCUCUCAAUGCUCUUUAUUAUUUUUGGAGUCAUUGGAUUUGAAUGUUGCCGUGUUAUAUAUGCACGGCUCAUUUGAAAUGUAUUAGCGGUCCACUUGGGUGGGUGCAUGUGAUCAUAAUCAUUGUCUUAUUGUCACUGUUACUCAGUGGUGGAUGGCUUCUAACCCCCCUACUCUUAUGUCAUUUGACCUCAAAUCAGGUAGGACUACCCGCUGAACUUAAGCAUAUCAAU